CCUACGGGUGGCUGCAGUGGGGAAUAUUGGACAAUGGGGGCUACCCUGAUCCAGCCAUGCCGCGUGUGUGAAGAAGGCCCUCGGGUUGUAAAGCACUUUCAGUGAGGAAGAACGCCUGGUGGUUAAUACCCAUCAGGAAAGACAUCACUCACAGAAGAAGCACCGGCUAACUCCGUGCCAGCAGCCGCGGUAAUACGGAGGGUGCGAGCGUUAAUCGGAAUUACUGGGCGUAAAGCGCGCGUAGGUGGCUUGAUAAGCCGGUUGUGAAAGCCCCGGGCUCAACCUGGGAACGGCAUCCGGAACUGUCAAGCUAGAGUGCAGGAGAGGAAGGUAGAAUUCCCGGUGUAGCGGUGAAAUGCGUAGAGAUCGGGAGGAAUACCAGUGGCGAAGGCGGCCUUCUGGACUGACACUGACACUGAGGUGCGAAAGCGUGGGUAGCAAACAGGAUUAGAUACCCUAGUAGUC
rnacentral:rRNA from 1 species